rnacentral:lncRNA from 10 species
CUGUUAACUCCUCACCGUCAGCCUCCGAGACCAUGAUCAUUCUCCCUCCUGAAACAAUGAAAGCAUGGCUUUGAGAAGAGGCGUACCACCUGAGGUUCUGUGGCCAGGACAUGGCAGACUGGGACUAGAGCUGGACAUUUUGCCCCAAGGUGAUGGAUCCCAUCCUGAGCCUUAUACACUUGAGGAAUUUUCUCUACCUUCCUCACACAGAAGCCACUUGCUCACUUGUGUUCCAUCUUGUGUGCUUGAGCUGACAUGUGCAUACACCACCUGUUAUGGGCUGAAGUGUGUCCCUGCCCCAAAUUUAGAUGUUGAAGUCCUCACUCUCAGCACCUUAGAACCUAACCAUGUUUGAAGAAAAAAUCUUCUGAGAGGUAAUUAAGCUACAAUGAAGGCUUCAGGGUGGGCCUUAAUCCAAUGUGACUGGUGUGCUUAUAAGAAGAGGAAAUUUGGACCCAUGGAAAGACAACAGAAGCAUACACAGACAGAGGGACACCGCGUGAAGACACUGUGAAAAGGUGGCCAUCUGCAAGCCAUGGGGAGAAGCCUUGAGAGAAACUAGCCCUGCCAAUGCCUUGAUUUUGGACUGCUAGCCUCUAUAACUGUGAGAAAAUAAAUCUCUGUUGUUUAA